CCUACGGGGGGCUGCAGUAAGGAAUCUUCCGCAAUGCGCGAAAGCGUGACGGGGCAAUGCCGCGUGCAGGAUGAAGCCCUUCGGGGUGUAAACUGCUGUCAGGGGGCAGGAAUACAAUGACCAUACCCAAAGGAAGCACCGGCUAACUCUGUGCCAGCAGCCGCGGUAAUACAGAGGGUGCGAGCGUUAAUCGGAAUCACUGGGCUUAAAGCGUUCGUAGGCGGGUCUGUAGGCGCGUUGUGAAAGCCCCCGGCUCAACCGGGGAACUGCUUCGCGAACCACAGAUCUUGAGUCAAGUAGGGGCGAUCGGAACGAUAGGUGGAGCGGUGAAAUGCGUAGAUAUCUAUCGGAACGCCGAAGGUGAAGACAGGUCGCUGGGCUUGUACUGACGCUGAGGAACGAAAGCGUGGGGAGCAAACGGGCUUAGAUACCCCUGUAGUC
rnacentral:rRNA from 1 species